CUCUGAAGCCCAGAUGAACCUCACAAUACCAGGUUCUGAGGGCAGGAAGUGCAGUAUGUCGUGGACGUUGACCCACGCGUCGGGAGCCGUCUCAGACACCAACACCUGGAUCUGGAAUAUGAAUUAAGCAUGGGCUGCCGGUGGGAUGCUGAACCUCAUUGAGAUACUUACUAUUGAGAGCACGGGGUCCAACCGACUCUGGCCAGGUAUUCAAACCACGGGAACACCUCUUUCAGCGAAUGUCUCAGUUCAUACCAUCUUACAUCGACCACCUCCAAGGGAUCCGAACUGUUCCCGG